GACUUAUGGACGUCCAGGGCCUGGAGC
rnacentral:sRNA from 1 species